UCAAAUGGACAUUUAAACUCAAUUAAAAAGUUUACAGAGGGCAUUUUUCCACAUACUCUGCCAUAUAAGAUCUAAACAGAUCUGCUCAGAUGUUCCUAAAUUUUCUUGUUUGAGAGAAGUACAAAACUGAAUAAUUCAGUAUCCAGCCCUGACUUUUAGUGAAGAUAUUGUCAUAGCACCAUUUACAAUGUCCUUGCUCCUCUGAGGUUUGCAUUUUGAUGAAAAUUCUGACCAUAGAAACAGAAAGAAAUGUCUGUGGUUUUAAGCAUCAGCAGCCCAUGAGCAAGUUGCUUUGUCUACUCUUUAGAAAAAGGCAUCUCUAAAGCCCUAGGACACAGUAUUCAGAGAGGAAGUAGGAGCUUUUGUCCAAAAUUCCAGAUUGAAGCUUGGAAGAUCUGUACUCAGUUAUUAUUCUUACCACAGGCUUCCUGUGAGGAAUGAAGAAGAUAUUUUCAAUUUUAGUGACUCACAGGUAGAAAAGAGUUUUUAUCACCUAUAUCUAUUCCAAGCAUAAACUCUGUAGGUUCUCUGGGUUCUUGGAAUAAGUUUUUUGCAGAAGGCAAAAGAACAACUGAGCUGUUGCAGAUGACCCACUUUUAACUGGAUCCCAGCAAUGACAGGCCAAUGAGGAUAUGAAGUUCAUUUCUUGUUGUUCCAUAGCAUUUAUUCAUCCCCUUGGGAGCUGGGAACUGUUGUGUUUUCUGACCUGACCCGUGUUGCCACAACUACAUUUGUUACUUUGAGUACAGGAUAUGUUUUAUGGGACCUGCAGCCCUAAUUCCCCACAAUGUUCACAUCAGCCCAAUGUCAGGGUCCUCACCCAGUAUGGGACAAAUUUCAGAGAUCCAAACGCAUCAGUCCCAAUUUUGUGGUGAUGAACACGAAGUCUGGAUACUGGAUUGGGAUCUUGGAUACAUUUCUCUGGCAAUAGAGGAGAAACACCCUUCUGCCAUAUCAAUAAAUGGAAUAUCAUCCGACUGUUUUCACACAAAAGAGUCAGAAAGCAGUUUUCUUAACCUCUCAGUGAGUUUUUCUUUGUGUAUUAAUUGGUGUUAUUUAGAAGCACAAUAGUGAUUCUUAAGCUAGGAGUCCCAUCACGUGGCACUCGGAUCUGGAGCUAGGGCAAGGCACUUAACCUCUCCUUACUUUAGUUUGUGAAACAAACAACACUAUUUUAACUACUUUUCAAGGAUAUUAGAUAAAAUUAAUUAGUGUUUGUACUGCAAUAAAGGUCUAUAUAAUUGGAAAGUCUUAUAAGAAUCUCGAUCGUUUUAGUUAUAUUUUGCGUUGAUUAACUUUGAAGGGUUAGUUUUGAUACUUUGUGCUGUAUUUGAAGUGUGCUAUUGUUUGAUCUCUGUAAAUAACAGCUGACUUUUCAAGCUCCUGUAACGAACCUGUUUAGUGUCUGCGUCUGCCAAUGCCCUCUACUGGUUUGAAACACAAUCGCUCAGCAGAGGGUAUUGCAGGAAACUAAUAUUUAGAUGAUUUUCCUUGGGGAGAAGUAGAGUUUUGGUUGUGUAGCCGAGCUCUCUGUGAAGUGCAAGGAGCUGCACCAUGGGCAGGUGACACCUGGGUGACUCUUGUCAUGCUGCACACACAUAACACCGUGCCAGGUGUUUUGUGUUGCCUUCUGAGUUUUCGUUUCUCUGGCUUUGCUGUUCUUGCCAUGAAUGACAGGCUCCCAGGUAGGUCUGGAGAGGGAAGAAGGCAGUUACCUGAGAGCUGCUGUGCAGAUGUUCCACCAACACCACGGCCACCUCUCCAAGGAGCCUCUCUGCGCUUCCCCCGGUCCUGGGCCUUCCAAAAGUGAGGGGUGCUUGUGUUGACAGGCUGUGGGACAAAUAACCCCGGGGGCACAGGAGCUGCAGAGGUAAUGAAGUGCCUUGAGGAAAAAGUCUUAACUAUCAAGGGAUAGAUCCACUCCCCCUGCCACAAACCAGAGGUCACGUGGCUGAGGAAUGUGUAUCCAAAGAUAGGGCUACCUUCCGAGAACUCUACUUACAGUUUACACAGAGCUUGUUUCCAAGAGAAGGAUGUAAUUUAAAAGAUGGAGACAUCAUCUAUACCAUCCCUUAUCUCUUAACAGCCCAUCAUUUGUGUUAUGGUUGGAUCAGCAGCCAGAUCUCUGCAGCUGUGUGGAGUGGGCAGACAGUUUGACAACCUGAGGAGGAAAACAAGUCAAAACACAGAUUGCCAGGGUCUGAAAUUUUCUACUUUCUUGUAUAACAAUGUGGAAAUACUGCAGCUGGCACGUCCCACCAUGUGCAGAUGGAUCAGCAGCAGCACACAGAGACACUGAGCUGGCAAAAAGCAUUUCCUUGGUGUCCACAUCUGCAGAGAUCUGUGCACACAGACCUGGCCACCCUCUGCUGUGCAGCUCAAUGCUCCUUGACUGCAGCCUUGCUGUGAAAGCCUCAGCCAAAGCUGCCCCUUUCCCCCCCUACUCUGAAGCACCGUUACCUUCCUCCUCUUCCUCCUGCACAUCUGCACAGGAUAUUUUUUUGGCCAGAAUAAGAUGAGCACAGGUGGUAACAUAAGGCACAUUGCAUCUAGAUUUGACACCUGGUGCACAUAGGGCUUACAAGUUUUAAUCAGUUUUAUGCAAGUUUUUGGCACUCUGGUUUUCUAUUUUUUUUUUUUAAACCAGUUUAAUGAGUGGGCAAAAAGCAGCAGCAGAUUUACUUAGAGGGGGUUCAAAUUUGUCUUCAAAGGGUCUGUGUUUCAGAAGUGUUUAUUUCUUUUUACAGAAUUAUAUGUACAUAAAUAAAAAGAUUUGUAAAUUUUACAGAUGGAUAAAUUCAGCUUUUUUUUUAUAAGCUAAUACCCAAGUUGGCUAUGGCCAGUCUUAGCUGACAGUCACAAAGCCACAUGGAUUCCAUGCAGA